rnacentral:tRNA from 1 species
AGGAACUUAGGAUAGCACUGUAAACCAAGAGCCUUCAAAGCCCUAGACGGGGGUGAAAAUCUCCCAGUUCCUG